rnacentral:sRNA from 1 species
GCCGGGCACAGUGGCACAUGCCUGUAAUCCUAGCAGCUCAGGAGGCUGAGAAAGGAGGAUCCUGAGUUCAAAGCAAGCCUCAGUGACUUAGAGAGGCUCUAAGCAACAACUCAGUGAGACCCUGUCUCUA